CGAUAAGAGCAGCACAAGGAAGCAUUGUUCAUUAAAAGUCCUAAAUUUGUCCAGUAAAUACCUUUUGUAUGUGCUCGUUAUGUGAAAUAUGGGUUGAUUGUUGAAGCUUUUAGCAUAUUAAAAAAUAAAAUUAAAAAAGUCAAAUGAUGCUUGUAGAAAGUCGCUUCAAUCCCAAUUACUGCCUAUUUCCCUGAAGAAGUAAUAAGAAAAUCGCUCGCAGUUUGUGAAAAUGUGCUGUCCGUGCUACUCCUGAUGCGGCUUUUGUUCCCCAUACUGCUAUGCUGCUUGCUACUGUGGUUCUUGUUUUCCUUGCUGUGGUGGAUGUGGACCCUGUGGUGGCUGUGGAUUGUCAUGCUAAACACUUUUUCAGGAGGAAAUCUAGGUACUAGACUCA